rnacentral:rRNA from 1 species
AAAUUGAAGAGUUUGAUCAUGGCUCAGAUUGAACGCUGGCGGCAGGCCUAACACAUGCAAGUCGAACGGUAGCACAGAGAGCUUGCUCUCAGGUGACGAGUGGCGGACGGGUGAGUAAUGUCUGGGAAACUGCCUGAUGGAGGGGGAUAACUACUGGAAACGGUAGCUAAUACCGCAUAACGUCGCAAGACCAAAGUGGGGGACCUUCGGGCCUCAUGCCAUCAGAUGUGCCCAGAUGGGAUUAGCUAGUAGGUGGGGUAAUGGCUCACCUAGGCGACGAUCCCUAGCUGGUCUGAGAGGAUGACCAGCCACACUGGAACUGAGACACGGUCCAGACUCCUACGGGAGGCAGCAGUGGGGAAUAUUGCACAAUGGGCGCAAGCCUGAUGCAGCCAUGCCGCGUGUAUGAAGAAGGCCUUCGGGUUGUAAAGUACUUUCAGCGAGGAGGAAGGCGGUGAGGUUAAUAACCUCAUCGAUUGACGUUACUCGCAGAAGAAGCACCGGCUAACUCCGUGCCAGCAGCCGCGGUAAUACGGAGGGUGCAAGCGUUAAUCGGAAUUACUGGGCGUAAAGCGCACGCAGGCGGUCUGUUAAGUCAGAUGUGAAAUCCCCGGGCUCAACCUGGGAACUGCAUUUGAAACUGGCAGGCUUGAGUCUUGUAGAGGGGGGUAGAAUUCCAGGUGUAGCGGUGAAAUGCGUAGAGAUCUGGAGGAAUACCGGUGGCGAAGGCGGCCCCCUGGACAAAGACUGACGCUCAGGUGCGAAAGCGUGGGGAGCAAACAGGAUUAGAUACCCUGGUAGUCCACGCUGUAAACGAUGUCGACUUGGAGGUUGUUCCCUUGAGGAGUGGCUUCCGGAGCUAACGCGUUAAGUCGACCGCCUGGGGAGUACGGCCGCAAGGUUAAAACUCAAAUGAAUUGACGGGGGCCCGCACAAGCGGUGGAGCAUGUGGUUUAAUUCGAUGCAACGCGAAGAACCUUACCUACUCUUGACAUCCAGAGAACUUAGCAGAGAUGCUUUGGUGCCUUCGGGAACUCUGAGACAGGUGCUGCAUGGCUGUCGUCAGCUCGUGUUGUGAAAUGUUGGGUUAAGUCCCGCAACGAGCGCAACCCUUAUCCUUUGUUGCCAGCGGUCCGGCCGGGAACUCAAAGGAGACUGCCAGUGAUAAACUGGAGGAAGGUGGGGAUGACGUCAAGUCAUCAUGGCCCUUACGAGUAGGGCUACACACGUGCUACAAUGGCAUAUACAAAGAGAAGCGACCUCGCGAGAGCAAGCGGACCUCAUAAAGUAUGUCGUAGUCCGGAUUGGAGUCUGCAACUCGACUCCAUGAAGUCGGAAUCGCUAGUAAUCGUAGAUCAGAAUGCUACGGUGAAUACGUUCCCGGGCCUUGUACACACCGCCCGUCACACCAUGGGAGUGGGUUGCAAAAGAAGUAGGUAGCUUAACCUUCGGGAGGGCGCUUACCACUUUGUGAUUCAUGACUGGGGUGAAGUCGUAACAAGGUAACCGUAGGGGAACCUGCGGUUGGAUCACCUCCUUACCUGAA